GCUGUCAUCGCUGUGUUCCCCAGGCUGGUCUCAAACUCCUGGCCUCAAGUGGUCCCCCAACCUUGGCCUCCUUAAAUCCUGGGAUUCCAGGGAUGAGCCACCCCACCCAGCUGGAAGACUGCUGCCUUGAUGGCCCCCAGUGAAUCCUUCGCUAUUGAUGAUCUUCUGUAGUCCCCCCUCACCAAAUCUGGACAGGCCUUGAGACCCGUUUGGCAGAUAGAGUGUAGGGGAGCCUGGCAGCUUCCUGGUCUCUGGGAAGCUGCCCCGUUGUGGGGAGGUGAGGCCAUCCUACUGGAGGGAAAAGCCACACACAGCUGCAAGAGUGACCUUCCUCAAUACCAUAUGGGGCAGAAGAACCACCCCAGUGACACACAGACUCGUGAGGAGGAAUCAAUCACCCUCAUCUUAAGCUGCCAACAUGACAUGGCUGAACACGAGAUUGAGAAGAAACGUGCACCAUCUGUCCAGGAGCCGGCGAGCUGGAUCCAGCACACCUGCGUUCUCCUCCCCUGACAUGUGACAACCCUGCAGAGAUCUGAGAUCAGCAGCUCAGAUUAGGUGAGCAGAUGCAUUUUGUCACAGAGACACAGAGUUCUGGGCUGGGCCUUAUCUUCAGGGCAUCUGGUAGGAUGGAAAGGACUUCAAGCCGUGUGCCAAGCCCAUGUCCUAUUCUCUGGGCCUGUUCCUUUCCCUUGAAGUGCUGGAGGCAGAGCUUGCAGCUGAAGAGCUACAGCCGGCUCUCCCUCAUGUCCGGGCAUGAGCGGUCUGUGGAGGCAGCAGCCAGGCUGUGUCCAGGUACCCUGACGGCCACUGCGCAUGAGCAGUGUCAGGUAGAGGGAGUUCUGAGCACCCAUCUGCUCAGCCCCAGACUCCAUCAGAGGCGGUGGAAUGGGCCCUGAGGACGCCGCAGUCCCGGGCCUUAGGGGCAGGCCUUCCAGGUGAAGCCCUGAGGACCAGGUAGCCCUGCUCAGCAGUCCCGGACCCCACCUCAGCAGCCCCAGGAAGCCAAGGAGAUGAGGGACCAACUCAGGAAAUGGUGGGUGAGGCUGGUGGCGCCUGGAAACACCGGUCACCAGGGCGGCAGCACCGGUCCUCACCCCUCCCUGCCAGGACUCCAGCAGCUCUCAGCCCCUAGGCAUGAUAGUUAGUUUCUUGGGUCAACCAAAUAGUCAUUUAGGGGUUGCUGUGAAGGUAUUCUGUCGGUGUAUCACAUCUGCAGUCAGCUGACAGGAGUGAAAGGCCAUUACUCUCAAUCAUGUGGCGGGGAUGCGGGUGGGAAGCCUUGUGCAACCAGUGACAUACCUUACAAGCAGAGCUGGGGUUUCCUUGAGGACAAAGAGAUUUUGCCCGUGGACUAUAGCAUCACCUGCUGCCCGAGAGGCCCAGGUGCUGCCUGCGCUAUGGAUUUCCGCCUCGCUCAGCCAGCCCCCACUUUGUCUGAGCCAAUUUUUAACAAUAAAUCUCUCCCUCCCUC